rnacentral:rRNA from 1 species
CGGAGGGUGCAAGCGUUAUCCGGAUUCACUGGGUUUAAAGGGAGCGCAGGCGGACUGGUAAGUCAGUGGUGAAAUACCUGAGCUUAACUCGGGAACUGCCAUUGAUACUAUCAGUCUUGAAUGUUGUUGAGGUUUGCGGAAUGGGUCAUGUAGCGGUGAAAUGCAUAGAUAUGACCCGGAACACCUAUUGCGAAGGCAGCAGGCUAAACAAAUAUUGACGCUGAGGCUCGAAAGCGUGGGGACCAAACAGGAUUAGAUACCCUGGUAGUCCACGCCCUAAACGAUGAUUACUCGACAUACGCGAUACACUGUGUGUGUCUGAGCGAAAGCAUUAAGUAAUCCACCUGGGAAGUACGACCGCAAGGUUG